rnacentral:rRNA from 1 species
UACGAAGGGGGCUAGCGUUGCUCGGAAUUACUGGGCGUAAAGCGUGCGUAGGUGGUGAGUUAAGUCUGUCGUGAAAGCCCCGGGCUCAACCUGGGAAUGGCGAUGGAUACUGGCUCGCUAGAGUGCGGUAGAGGAGAGUGGAAUUCCCGGUGUAGCAGUGAAAUGCGUAGAGAUCGGGAGGAACAUCAGUUGCGAAGGCGGCUCUCUGGACCAGCACUGACACUGAGGCACGAAAGCGUGGGGAGCAAACAGG